AAAGAAUGACCUCACUAAGUUGUAUUCAAAGUCUCAUUAGUAAGGAAGCAUAUAUGAAUUUUCUGAGUCAAUCCAUAUAGUAACUGUUUGGGGUUUUGAUAGGUUAUGUUAGGUUAAGUUUAGGGUAUCUUCAAACACAUGAUAGCCAGCACUUUACAGUAUAAAUCAACAAAGAAUGACCUCACUUAGUUGUAUUGAAAGUCUCAUUAGUAAGGAAGCAUAUAUGAAUUUUCUGAGUCAAGACCUAUAGUAACUGUUAGUGGUUUUGAUAGGUUAUGUUAGGUUAAGUUUAGGGUAUCUUCAAACACAUGAUAGCCAGCACUUUACAGUAUGAAUCAACAAAGAAUGACCUCACUUAGUUGUAUUGAAAGUCUCAUUAGUAAGGAAGCAUAUAUGAAUUUUCUGAGUCAAGACCUAUAGUAACUGUUAGUGGUUUUGAUAGGUUAUGUUAGGUUAAGUUUAGGGUAUCUUCAAACACAUGAUAGCCAGCACUUUACAGUAUGAAUCAACAAAGAAUGACCUCACUUAGUUGUAUUGAAAGUCUCAUUAGUAAGGAAGCAUAUAUGAAUUUUCUGAGACAAGACCUAUAGUAACUGUUUGGGGUUUUGAUAGGUUAUGUUAGGUUAAGUUUAGGGUAUCUUCAAACACAUGAUAGCCAGCACUUUACAGUAUAUAUCAACAAAGAAUGACCUCACUUAGUUGUAUAGAAAGUCUCAUUAGUAAGGAAGCAUAUAUGAAUUUUCUGAGUCAAUCCAUAUAGUAACUGUUAGUGGUUUUGAUAGGUUAUGUUAGGUUAAGUUUAGGGUAUCUUCAAACACAUGAUAGCCAGCACUUUACAGUAUAAAUCAACAAAGAAUGACCUCACUUAGUUGUAUAGAAAGUCUCAUUAGUAAGGAAGCAUAUAUGAAUUUUCUGAGUCAAUCCAUAUAGUAACUGUUUGGGGGUUUGAUAGGUUAUGUUAGGUUAAGUUUAGGGUAUCUUCAAACACAUGAUAGCCAGCACUUUACAGUAUAUAUCAACAAAGAAUGACCUCACUUAGUUGUAUAGAAAGUCUCAUUAGUAAGGAAGCAUAUAUGAAUUUUCUGAGUCAAUCCAUAUAAUAACUGUUUCGGGUUUUGAUAGGUUAUGUUAGGUUAAGUUUAGGGUAUCUUCAAACACAUGAUAGCCAGCACUUUACAGUAUGAAUCAACAAAGAAUGACCUCACUUAGUUGUAUUGAAAGUCUCAUUAGUAAGGAAGCAUAUAUGAAUUUUCUGAGACAAGACC